rnacentral:sRNA from 1 species
UGUUAACAAAACUAGGCUUUAACCAGCGGUUUACCGCGGGCAAUCGGUUUAUUUAGUUCUUAUAUUAAAUAUUUGAUUAAAUUUGAUAUCCUAAACUUAUAAAUAUAAAUUUCUAAUGAUUAGUAAAGAAUCGUAAUAGAUAAUUUGGAUAUUAUUGAUUAUUGAUUUCGUGAUUGAAUAUAGUAUUUUUAGGGAUGGAAUGUGAUCAUAUUUUGAUUUCAAAAAUGACAUAGAUUUUCUAUUUUUGUUGAGCGGUUUAGAUUGAAGGGAAUUAAUUUUAUUGAACGGUUUAGAUUGAAGGAAAUUAAUUUUAUUGAACGGUUUAGAUUGAAUCAGAUCAAAUGAAGUUUAGGAGAUUGUUAAGAACAAAUUACCCUUAAUGAUUUUAAAUAGCAAAGAACAAAAUCCAAAAUUAAAAUCAAAAUUGAGGCUAAAUUAGAUAAAAUUUCAAUUUGUACUUCCCUUUUAAUAAUAAAGGGAUAACUGCUUUCUCAAUUGACAUGUACCUUGUAU